rnacentral:rRNA from 1 species
GACGAACGCUGGCGGCGUGCUUAACACAUGCAAGUCGAACGGAAAGGCCCUGCUUUUGUGGGGUGCUCGAGUGGCGAACGGGUGAGUAACACGUGAGUAACCUGCCCUUGACUUUGGGAUAACUUCAGGAAACUGGGGCUAAUACCGGAUAGGAGCUCCUGCUGCAUGGUGGGGGUUGGAAAGUUUCGGCGGUUGGGGAUGGACUCGCGGCUUAUCAGCGUGUUGGUGGGGUAGUGGCUUACCAAGGCUUUGACGGGUAGCCGGCCUGAGAGGGUGACCGGCCACAUUGGGACUGAGAUACGGCCCAGACUCCUACGGGAGGCAGCAGUGGGGAAUAUUGCACAAUGGGCGGAAGCCUGAUGCAGCAACGCCGCGUGCGGGAUGACGGCCUUCGGGUUGUAAACCGCUUUCGCCUGUGACGAAGCGCGAGUGACGGUAAUGGGUAAAGAAGCACCGGCUAACUACGUG